rnacentral:rRNA from 1 species
UACGUAGGGGGCGAGCGUUAUCCGGAUUUAUUGGGCGUAAAGGGCACGCAGGCGGUCGUGUAAGUUUGGGGUUACAGCUCCCGGCUCAACUGGGAGAGCGCCUUGAAGACUGCAGGACUUGAGGGCCACAGAGGGACACAGAAUUCCGGGUGUAGUGGUGAAAUGCGUAGAUAUCCGGAGGAAUACCAAAGGCGAAGGCAGUGUCCUGGGUGGCACCUGACGCUCAGGUGCGAAAGCUAGGGGAGCGAACGGG